rnacentral:rRNA from 1 species
AGGUGCUUGCACCUUAUCUUAGCGGCGGACGGGUGAGUAAUGCUUAGGAAUCUGCCUAUUAGUGGGGGACAACAUUCCGAAAGGGAUGCUAAUACCGCAUACGUCCUACGGGAGAAAGCAGGGGAUCUUCGGACCUUGCGCUAAUAGAUGAGCCUAAGUCGGAUUAGCUAGUUGGUGGGGUAAAGGCCUACCAAGGCGACGAUCUGUAGCGGGUCUGAGAGGAUGAUCCGCCACACUGGGACUGAGACACGGCCCAGACUCCUACGGGAGGCAGCAGUGGGGAAUAUUGGACAAUGGGGGAACCCUGAUCCAGCCAUGCCGCGUGUGUGAAGAAGGCCUUAUGGUUGUAAAGCACUUUAAGCGAGGAGGAGGCUACUGAGACUAAUACUCUUGGAUAGUGGACGUUACUCGCAGAAUAAGCACCGGCUAACUCUGUGCCAGCAGCCGCGGUAAUACAGAGGGUGCGAGCGUUAAUCGGAUUUACUGGGCGUAAAGCGUGCGUAGGCGGCUUUUUAAGUCGGAUGUGAAAUCCCCGAGCUUAACUUGGGAAUUGCAUUCGAUACUGGGAAGCUAGAGUAUGGGAGAGGAUGGUAGAAUUCAGGUGUAGCGGUGAAAUGCGUAAAGAUCUGGAGGAAUACCGAUGGCGAAG